rnacentral:rRNA from 1 species
UACGAAGGGGGCUAGCGUUGCUCGGAAUCACUGGGCUUAAAGGGUGCGUAGGCUGCGAGGAGGGUGGGGUGUGAAAUCCCUCGGCUUAACCGAGGAAUUGCGCUCCAAACCGCCUUGCUGGAGUGAGACAGAGGUGAGCGGAACUAAUGGUGGAGCGGUGAAAUGCGUUGAUAUCAUUAGGAACACCAGAGGCGAAGGCGGCUCACUGGGUCUCAACUGACGCUGAUGCACGAAAGCUAGGGUAGCGAACGGG